UUGUCCGAUCAUGAUUUUUCACCCCAAAGAUCAAGUGCGAGAAAACUACAAAUAAUGCCUUCAACAAGGUACGGCGUCAUCGCAUCUACUGAAGCUGAGGAACGCCAUCUGAAGAUUGAAUUUGUUACUGUAAAAAUCAUAUCUGACCUUUCUAAAAUUCCUUAGUUAUGAACUAGGAGUAUAUUAUCUAGCCAAGCAAUGCAUGAUGUAUUAAUCAACCAGACAAACAAUAAACAUGACUUUGGGCGUUGGUUAGUCGGGACGUACGUAGUUCAAUCCUAAUAUUACUAAAGCUUUAAGAACUGUAGAAUCCUAGAGUUCGUCGUGGUCGUUGUCCUCGGCAGCGUCGUCAUGACCACCGCCGGCGUUCCCGUAGGAAGCGGCGAAGACGGGGCUGCAGAC
rnacentral:lncRNA from 1 species